AUAAGUAAGAUCACUCUUACUAGUAGAUAUGCACAGGAAUAUCGAAUUUCAUGUAUAUUCGAGACAUUCAAUUUCAACCAAAAACUUUCCAGGAAACGUUAUUGGUACCUUCGACUUCAUCCUCUAUUACUUCUACACUUUUACUUUGUAAUUGCCCUUGAUGAGAUUUGCCUUCCGUGAAAUCUCUUUUUCGAGACAAAGCAUUCGUUCUGAACCCAUUAGAUCCUAUAGAAAGACGAGAUUAUUGUAUCUAACAAGUGUAAAUGUUUCUGUUAAUCGUCCUCUAACUGGAAAUUCACGAUUCAACCCGCUAUUUCAAUUAUUUUACCGAUAAGACGAUCCAGUAAGAGUAGACUGUAUCUCUUUUCAACUCAAUCCAGGUCUCAACUAAACCAGAUACAUAGGCAAGCAACAAGAGUCAACUUGUGAAACUACACAAGACGUUAAACUCGAGGAAGAUGAAAGUACGAAGUCUGCUUGUGACGCGAGUUAACUUCAAACGCUCGAAACGACAAGAUUUCAACUCGGUCGGUUGAUGACAGCUUUGUUACCGACUGUGCCAUACCGGUUCCAUGUGCAAAAACAUUCGGUACUUACCUCCUUGCGGAGAUGCUACGUCGCCGAAAAUCAAGCUAAGAGAAAUUCAUAAAACAUAUCUCUCUCGUGCUUUUACAAAUUACAAGAAAUACGUUGCUUUAGUAAGUACUUAUCAUAAUUGAUGUCUAUUUCAGAUACGAAACAGUUACAAGAUGAACAAAAUAAAAGAUUCGAGGAAAAACUGAGGAAGAAAUAAUCUAACCAAUAUUCCAAUAUAACGAGGGAACAAACAUUAGUGGAAUAACUCGAAAGUUAAGAUAAACAGAAUUUAUAAUGGAAAUUUCUUUUCAUAAUCGGUCGAGUUUUACGAAACUUCCUACGUAUUUUAAUCCUGGAUUCACGAGUUAUGGUUAACCUGGUUGCUGUUGAAUUAACCGGAAAAUAAGACGAAACAUCGAAAUUUCGCAAGUUUUUAAAUUAUAAUUCUCACUGCGUAGUGUGUAGCAAUUAACGUUUCCAUUCUUCUAAUAUUUCUUUUUCAAUUUAAAUUAUUUUUAAUUUAAAAUAUAGAAAAAAAGAAAGUAAAAACAAUUAAAAUUAACUUUUUAUUUAUAUUUUAAAUACUAUAUAUAAUAAUGGAUCGAUAAAAUAAUACAAAUUAAAAUGAAUUUGAAGUCGGAACACAAACUUAAAUGUAUAUUGUUAUAAAAUAAAAAUUAAUUAAUAUUUAUAUUCAAAAAACAUUCUGGUUUUUAUGUGGCGUAUUUCUGAAAAACAAGAUCGGAGGAAACGAUGAACGAUGCAAACAACGACAACAAAUAAUUAUUUCCAAAAUGAAUUGAGAAGGAGUUAAAGUUCUCAGUUUAGGAGACCACUGGAAAUUAGCUAACUUUUCCGACGGUUUCUCCAGGAUAAACUAAUUUCGAGCACCAGAAACGAAUCACUGUUCAUCAUAAUGCGAACUCUGCGACAUUCACCAGUCGAAACACGAAUCCGGACGGUCUGUCCAGCUGUUUAACGGUAAACAAGCCGAUUUAGCUUGACCCAACCUAUCCUACAAAUCCUUAUUAGAGCGACACUUGGCUAAUUGCGUACUAGUUCUAUUGUGCAAGAGAGCACACACUGCGAAGUGCUCUCGAACUGUUACGAGGUUUAGAUAAAGCGAUAAUGAAUGGCUCGGAAUACUGUUUGUCCCCUAAUGAAAACUCCUGUUGUUGGAAAACUGGGCCGUUACGUUCCCUCAUAAUUAUAAUUACGUGUUUCCAGAUUCGUUUUAAGUUUCGAGCACCGAAUCGCUCUCAUUUUUAAUUAAUCC